rnacentral:rRNA from 1 species
AGCAACAGCUAGCUUAAUUCACCCAACAAUUGAACAAUAUAAAUAAAUAAAACUAAGUCUAACACCAAAAACUAAACCAUUCUUUUACCUGAGUAUGGGAGACAGAAAAGGUUAUACCGAAGCAAUAGAAAUAGUACCGCAAGGGAAGGCUGAAAGAGAAAUGAAACAACCCAUAUAAGCAUAAAAAAGCAAAGAUUAAAUCUUGUACCUUUUGCAUCAUGAUUUAGCCAGCACACCCAAGCAAAGAGACCUUUAGUUUGAAACCCCGAAACCAGGUGAGCUACCCCGAGACAGCCUAUAAAGGGCCAACCCGUCUCUGUGGCAAAAGAGUGGGAAGAGCUCCGGGUAGAAGUGACAGACCUACCGAACCUGGUGAUAGCUGGUUGCCUAAGAAAUGAAUAGAAGUUCAGCCUCGUACUCCCCAAAUCAAAACAUUAACAAGACACCAAGAGAAACACACGAGAGUUAGUUGAAGGGGGUACAGCCCCUUUAACAAAGGACACAACCUUUCCAGGAGGAUAAAGAUCACAAUACAUAAAACAUGCUACUUUAGUGGGCCCAAAAGCAGCCACCUAGACAGAAAGCGUUAUAGCUCAGACAGAAAGAAGUUUAUUAUACUGACAAAAAAUCUUACUCCCCUAACUACUAUUAGGCCAACCCAUGCCCACAUUGGAGAGACUAUGCUAAAAUGAGUAACAAGAAGGCCUGCCCUUCUCCACGGCACAAGUGUAAGCCAAACCGGACCAACCAUUGGCAACUAACGAACUCAACCCCAGAGAGCAAUGUGAACUGCAUAAAAACCAAGAAAAACCCACAACCCGCUUAUCGUUACCCCCACACUGGAGCGCCACUAAAGGAAAGACUAAAAGAAAGGGAAGGAACUCGGCAAACAUAAGCCUCGCCUGUUUACCAAAAACAUCGCCUCCUGCAACACAACUGAGUAUAGGAGGUCCAGCCUGCCCAGUGACCACAAGUUUAACGGCCGCGGUAUCCUGACCGUGCAAAGGUAGCGCAAUCACUUGUCUUUUAAAUAGAGACCUGUAUGAAUGGCCAAACGAGGGCUUAACUGUCUCCCCUUUCAAGUCAGUGAAAUUGAUCUGCCCGUGCAGAAGCGGC